AGCAGCCGCGGUAAUUCCAGCUCCAAUAGCGUAUAUUAAAGUUGCUGCAGUUAAAAAGCUCGUAGUUGAAUUUCGGGACUAAUAUGUCGGUCGUGCCUCGGUACGUACUGGCUUAUUGGUUUCUCCUUUCUGAAGAACCAUGAUGUCAUUUAUUUGGUGUCGUGGGGAAUCAGGACUGUUACUUUGAAAAAUUAGAGUGUUUAAAGCAGGCUCACGCUUGAAUACAUUAGCAUGGAAUAAUGAAAUAGGACGUUUGAUUCUAUUUUGUUGGUUUCUAGGAUCGACGUAAUGAUUAAUAGGGAUAGUUGGGGGCAUUAGUAUUCAAUUGUCAGAGGUGAAAUUCUUGGAUUUAUUGAAGACUAACUACUGCGAAAGCAUUUGCCAAGGAUGUUUUCAUUAAUCAAGAACGAAAGUUAGGGGAUCGAAGACGAUCAGAUACCGUCGUAGUCUUAACCAUAAACUAUGCCGACUAGGGAUCGGAUGAUGUUAA
rnacentral:rRNA from 1 species